AUUUGUCUUCCCUGCUGGCUUGGAAUCACUAUGCUUUCAUUUAAGCCCCUGGAGUAGCAAGGAUUACAGGCAUGAGUCAUCAGCAGUUGGUAAAGACCAUGGUUGCUGUUGUUUUAAACAAAAUGUGAUUUUGUACCCAGGACAGUAUUAGGAGGCUUUUUUCUCCAGAUUUGGCUCAGGGUUGCCAAUGGUGUCCUGUGAGUAGAGGUCAAGAAUACUACUUAAAUACCGCUUAAUGGACACAUGAACCCCUCCCGCCCCCCGCCAAAGAAUCAUCUCAACCAAAGUUGAGAUUCCUGGCUAGAAAUGAAGUAAAUUAGUAAAUUAGUCACACAGCAUGUGUGUGCAAAGCCAGCUUCACAAAGAGUCUUGGCAUACACUCUAAUUCUUCCUCUUGGAAAAUCAUAACAAGAGAUCAACAUUUAAUGUUACACUUUGCCAUGAGGGGCAUUAAAGGAACUGAUUCGAGUGCUGGGCUCAUAAUGGAGAGAAGGAGAGCAACUUGUAACAUGGAUAAUUGCAUUUCUGUAAUGUGGGAUCAGUCAGCUUCAGGUGGAGAAAAUAACAUUGCAAUAAAACAUUCUGAAGGCUCUUUCAAGUUCAAGUCUUGUACUUUCAGUUUGCUGGGAUGACAGGGCCAUGACAAUAUAUCUUGUCACCUGACAACCCUGAGGUGCUGAGAGAGAAGUAAAUAUCUCCCUUUCUGUGAAAUGACAAAAUUCAACAGAUGUACCCUGGUUACCAGUGUCCUCUGGACUGCUAAGAAAUAGUAAGGGUAAGAAAAUUCUUGUGUCCUCGUAGCCUGGAAACCCAGAAUUUUGUGCAGAAGUUUUGUUGAAUUGGGGAAGACAGGAGGUGGUAGUUCUUAAGUAUAGAGAAAGUCAUUGAAAUCCAGCCCAAUGCAAAGCCUGAUGUAAAA